GUUCGCAUUUUAAUGGCAAUCCUUGAAAACCUAAAAGCCUUAGAAACUAGAAGAAAUCAAUGUUUAAUGAUGGAACUUGAAACAUUAUGACAAAGGAGAAGGAGCUGAAAGGAAUUUUUAGACAUCACUGAGUGCAACCAAUUCAUCUUCUGCAUGAGCAAACAUAGAAGGAGAGAGAGAAAUGACAGGUGUCACACUACAGCCCCAGAUUUCCUAACACAAACUCCAGGAAAAGAAUCAUAUUGACUCACCUAGUAAUCUACCAAGCCCUGUCAGAGGCUAUGGACCUUCCUAUUCCACUUUUCAACGCCUGUCAAAGAUGACAAAGAUGACAAACAAGUGAUUGAGAAUUCUCUGCAUUUAUUUUAAAAGCCACAAUCAUGGAAAUGGUGCAUUUUAGCAAAAAUAAAGACAGCACAGAUAAUUGACAAAUGAAACUGAACCAGAAUAAGGUCUGGAAUGGACUAAAACAAAGAUAAUUCAUUACAAAUGCCCCGACUAUAAAUUUCAUCAGUCAUUAAUAAGCAAGAUUUCAGGCCAGGCGUGGUGGCUCACUCCUGUAAUCCCAACACUUUGGGAGGCCGAGGCGGGCGGAUCACUUGAGGUCAGGAGUUUGAGACAAGCCUAGCCAACAUGAUGAAACCCCAUCUCUACCAAAAAUACAAAAAUUAGCUGGGUAUGGUGGUGCAUGCCUGUAAUCUCAGCUAUUCAGGAGGCCAAGGCAGAAGAAUCACUUGAACCCAAGAGGCAGAGGUUGCAGUGAGCUGAGAUCAUGCCACUGCACUCCAUCCAGCCUAGGUGACAGAGCAAGACUCUGUCUCAAAAAAUAAUAAUAAAAUAAAAUAAAAUAAAAAGCAAGAUUUCAC
rnacentral:lncRNA from 1 species